GAUCAAGCGACUAAGUGCAUCUGGUGGAUGCCUUGGCGAUCAUAGGCGAUGAAGGACGUGUAAGCCUGCGAAAAGCGCGGGGGAGCUGGCAAUAGAGCAUUGAUCCCGCGAUGUCCGAAUGGGGAAACCCACCUCUUUUGAGGUAUCCCUGGCUGAAUCCAUAGGCCAGCGGAGGCGAACCCGGCGAACUGAAACAUCUAAGUAGCCGGAGGAAAAGAAAUCAACCGAGAUUCCGCAAGUAG
rnacentral:rRNA from 1 species